GGAAAGGGAGAAAGAAGGAGGAGGAGAAGGAAGGCAAGGGAGGAUGAAGAAGAGGGAAGCAAAGGGAGCACCUACCAUUGAAAGAGUGGAACCGAGAAGUCACAGGAGCAUGCAACACGAAACUAUCAACUAUCUACCGUCAUCUAGAACUCGAGAAGGUGGAACUAGUGCAGAGGCAGGCUUAGGACUUCGAUGGCAAUGGUAAGGCUUGUGUCCGUGAGACACCGUGUUGAUAGACAUCACUUUCUUAUUGUCAGUUAUUUACCCUUAUAUAUUAUUUAUAAUCUUGUAAUACCUAGGAUCAUAAUUCAAAUGAAUUUUGGUAUAUAGUAAUUAUCAUUUAGUGAA